rnacentral:rRNA from 1 species
UACAGAGGGGGCGAGCGUUGUUCGGAAUUACUGGGCGUAAAGGGUGCGUAGGCGGCUGCCUAAGUCAGGUGUGAAAUCUCCCGGCUCAACCGGGAACUGCGCUUGAUACUGGGCGGCUCGAGUGAGGUAGGGGUGUGUGGAACUUCCGGUGGAGCGGUGAAAUGUGUAGAUAUCGGAAGGAACGCCAGCAGCGAAAGCGGCACACUGGGCCUUUUCUGACGCUGAGGCACGAAAGCCAGGGGAGCGAACGGG